GAUGAACGCUGGCGGCGUGCCUAAUACAUGCAAGUCGAACGAAACUUCUUUAUCACCGAGUGCUUGCACUCACCGAUAAAGAGUUGAGUGGCGAACGGGUGAGUAACACGUGGGCAACCUGCCCAAAAGAGGGGGAUAACACUUGGAAACAGGUGCUAAUACCGCAUAACCAUAGUUACCGCAUGGUAACUAUGUAAAAGGUGGCUAUACUACCGCUUUUGGAUGGGCCCGCGGCGCAUUAGCUAGUUGGUAGGGUAAAGGCUUACCAAGGCAAUGAUGCGUAGCCGAAUUGAGAGGUUGAUCGGCCACAUUGGGACUGAGACACGGCCCAAACUCCUACGGGAGGCAGCAGUAGGGAAUCUUCCACAAUGGGCGAAAGCCUGAUGGAGCAACGCCGCGUGGGUGAAGAAGGUCUUCGGAUCGUAAAACCCUGUUGUUAGUGAAGAAAGUGCGUGAGAGUAACUGUUCACGUUUCGACGGUAUCUAACCAGAAAGCCACGGCUAACUACGUG
rnacentral:rRNA from 1 species